rnacentral:rRNA from 1 species
GACGAACCGUCCAAACGUUGUUCGGAAUCACUGGGCUUAAAGGGCGCGUAGGCGGGCUGCCAAGUCAGGGGUGAAAUCCCACGGCUCAACCGUGGAAGUGCCUCUGAUACUGGCGGCCUCGAGGGAGGUAGGGGCGUGCGGAACUUCCGGUGGAGCGGUGAAAUGCGUAGAUAUCGGAAGGAACACCGGUGGCGACAGCGGCGCGCUGGACCUCUACUGACGCUGAGGCGCGAAAGCCAGUGGAGCAAACGGG